GAGAACUAUGAUGAAGAUUCGUCAAGUCUUUGUCUUCGUUGCUCCGUUCUCUUGCUCCUAGAUUACGUGUCGAAAAAAAAAUCCCCAAUUGUGUGCUUGGCUUGGUCUUAUAUAUGGUGGAAAACUUGGGGAAGAAGGCAGUUUCCUUGUGUAAUUAAAAUUCCUUUACUGCGCCUCCUCGUGAUCUUGGACGACUGUGCCAAAUUUAG
rnacentral:lncRNA from 1 species